UACGUAGGUGGCAAGCGUUGUCCGGAAUUAUUGGGCGUAAAGCGCGCGCAGGUGGUUCCUUAAGUCUGAUGUGAAAGCCCACGGCUCAACCGUGGAGGGUCAUUGGAAACUGGGGAACUUGAGUGCAGAAGAGGAAAGUGGAAUUCCAAGUGUAGCGGUGAAAUGCGUAGAGAUUUGGAGGAACACCAGUGGCGAAGGCGACUUUCUGGUCUGUAACUGACACUGAGGCGCGAAAGCAUGGGGAGCGAACAGG
rnacentral:rRNA from 1 species